rnacentral:rRNA from 2 species
AUACAUGCAGUCGAGCGAACUGAUUAGAAGCUUGCUUCUAUGACGUUAGCGGCGGACGGGUGAGUAACACGUGGGCAACCUGCCUGUAAGACUGGGAUAACUUCGGGAAACCGAAGCUAAUACCGGAUAGGAUCUUCUCCUUCAUGGGAGAUGAUUGAAAGAUGGUUUCGGCUAUCACUUACAGAUGGGCCCGCGGUGCAUUAGCUAGUUGGUGAGGUAACGGCUCACCAAGGCAACGAUGCAUAGCCGACCUGAGAGGGUGAUCGGCCACACUGGGACUGAGACACGGCCCAGACUCCUACGGGAGGCAGCAGUAGGGAAUCUUCCGCAAUGGACGAAAGUCUGACGGAGCAACGCCGCGUGAGUGAUGAAGGCUUUCGGGUCGUAAAACUCUGUUGUUAGGGAAGAACAAGUACGAGAGUAACUGCUCGUACCUUGACGGUACCUAACCAGAAAGCCACGGCUAACUACGUGCCAGCAGCCGCGGUAAUACGUAGGUGGCAAGCGUUAUCCGGAAUUAUUGGGCGUAAAGCGCGCGCAGGCGGUUUCUUAAGUCUGAUGUGAAAGCCCACGGCUCAACCGUGGAGGGUCAUUGGAAACUGGGGAACUUGAGUGCAGAAGAGAAAAGCGGAAUUCCACGUGUAGCGGUGAAAUGCGUAUAGAUGUGGAGGAACACCAGUGGCGAAUGCGGCUUUUUUGGUCUGUAACUGACGCUGAGGCGCGAAAGCGUGAGAGAGCAAAAAAGCACUACAUCCCCCGGUGGUCCUCCCCGUU